UACGGAGGGGACUAGCGUUGUUCGGAAUCAUUGGGCGUAAAGAGCGCGUAGGCGGUCCGGAAAGUCCGCUCUGAAAGUCCGGGGCUCAACCCCGGGAGGCGGGCGGAUACUGUCGGGCUAGAGUCCGGAAGAGGCGAGUGGAAUUCCUGGUGUAGCGGUGAAAUGCGCAGAUAUCAGGAGGAACACCAAUGGCGAAGGCAGCUCGCUGGGACGGUACUGACGCUGAGGCGCGAAAGCGUGGGGAGCAAACAGG
rnacentral:rRNA from 1 species